UACAGAGGAGCCAAGCGUUGUCCGGAUUGACUGGGCGUAAAGCGCACGCAGGCGGACGCGCGCGUGGGGUGUGAAAUCUGGCCGCUUAACGGCCAGCGGCCAUCCCAUACGGCUGGUCUGGAGCGAUGCAGAGGUCGGUGGAAUUGCCGGUGUAGUGGUGAAAUGCGUAGAUAUUGCUCGGAAGGCCAGAGCCGAAGGGGCCCCAUUGGUACGUAACUGACGCUGAGGCACGAAAGCGUGGGGAGCAAACAGG
rnacentral:rRNA from 1 species